ensembl:lncRNA
UUUUUUUUUUUUUUUUUUUUUUUUUUGAGACAGGGUCUCACUCUGUUGCCCAGACUGGAAUGCAGUGGUACAAUCUCGGCUCACUGCAACCUUCGCCUCCUACGAUCAAGCUAGUCUCCUGCCUCAGCCUCCAAAGUAACUGGGAUUACAGGCGCAUGCCACUACCACCCGGCUAAUUUUUGUAUUUUUAGUAGAGACAGUGUUUCACCAUGUUGGCCAGGCUGGUCUUGAACUCCUAAUCUCAAAUGAUCCACCCACUUCCUAGGCCUUCCACAGUGCUGGGAUUACAGAUAUGAGCCACCAUGCCCAGCCAGCAUGUUAGCUAUUUUGGUUUGGUUGGACACAACAGGAUCCCGAUGAAAAGAAAGCCAGAGUAGAAAAGAAUCUAGAAAGAUAUGCACCAAAAUAUUAAUUGAUUAUAUGACAGUGAUCAUUUUUUAUUGUUCCUAUUCUGCUUAUUUAUGAUUGCUGAUUUGGCUUUCUUUACAAUACAGUUAUAUGACCUCUAUAAGCUUACUCUAAGAGUAAUAAAGAAGAAAAGAAAAACCAGACUGCAGUGGGCUUUGUGUGCCAUUCCCCACUAGCACUGCAAGGAAAUUAUAGAAUCUAGGCUCCCCUGAAAGCACCACGCAAACCAGCUUUGCCUGUGCUUCCUGGGAUUCCUACACCAAGAAGCUUCCAUUAUGUCUCUGAUAUGGUUUAACUGUGUCCCCACCCAAAUUUGUCUUGAAUUUUAGCUCCCAUAAGCCCCACAUGUCACAGGAGAGACCUGGUGGGAGGUAACUGAAUCAUGGGGGUGGCUUUUUCCUGUGCUGUUCUCAAGAUAGUGUAUAAGUCUCAUGAGAUGUGAUGGCUUUAUAAAAGGCAGUUGCCCUGCACAUGCUCUCUUGCCUGCCACCAUGUAAGACAUGCCUUUGCUCCUCCUUCACUUUCCACCGUGAUUGUGAGGACCCCCCAGCCAUGUGGAACUGUGAGUCCAUUAAACCUCUUUUUCUUUAUAAAUUACCAAGUCUUGGGUAUUUCUUCAUCGCAGCAUGAAAAUGGACUAAUACAGCCUUCACAUCAAGAGAGAAAGGGACCUUGCACAGAAGUUUUCUGUGUUCUUGGUGGCCUGUGGGGUCCCAAGGAUUCACAUUGCAAGGCCAUUUGGCAUCCACACUCCACACGAGGCAAGUUCAUCAGUUUCGUCCAAUACCUUCCUCAUGGCCAGCCAUUGGGUAGAUUCAGGCUGCUCUUGGCCCCAGCACCUCUCUCUGGGGGCUCACAGUAUAGAAAGGAGCUGGCACAGGCACUUCUGUUAGCAGGUAGGAGGUAUGCAUUCAUUCAUUCAUUUGGUGACUAUUUAAUGAGCCUUUUAUGUGCCAGCCCCUGAAUGAGGAAUGGGGCUAUUGUGAGGCUCUAGUGGGCUAAUGCUCAGCCAUCAGCUACAAGAUCACAUGCGGGUGGGCUUCUGCUGCCCUUCAGGUCUAUCCUCUGCCCUUCUCCACCCUACUUUAUGCCCAGAAGUCUGACCUGUGAGCGCUACGUUAACAUGCCCUCUCGCCUCUGGCUUCCUGUUGGCUGGACCAGUUGAACAGCCAUCGCAGGAAAGUGGAGAGAGG